UGGGCACUCUAUGCAGACUGCCCGGGUUAACCGGGAGGAAGGUGGGGACGACGUCAAGUCAUCAUGGCCCUUACACCUAGGGCUACACACGUACUACAAUGGCACGCACAAAGGGCAGCGAUACCGUGAGGUGGAGCCAAUCCCAAAAAACGUGUCCCAGUCCGGAUUGCAGUCUGCAACUCGACUGCAUGAAGUCGGAAUCGCUAGUAAUUCGAGGUCAGCAUACUCGGGUGAAUGCGUUCCCGGGCCUUGUACACACCGCCCGUCACACCACGAAAGUCGGUUUUACCCGAAGCCGGUGAGCCAACUAGCAAUAGAGGCAGCCGUCUACGGUAGGGCCGAUGAUUGGGGUGAAGUCGUAACAAGGUAGCCGUAGGGGAACCUGCGGCUGGAUCACCUCCUUUAAGG
rnacentral:rRNA from 1 species